rnacentral:rRNA from 1 species
UACGUAGGGUGCGAGCGUUAAUCGGAAUUACUGGGCGUAAAGCGUGCGCAGGCGGCGCGUUAAGACAGGUGUGAAAGCCCCCGAGCUUAACUUGGGAAUUGCGCUUGUGACUGGCGUGCUGGAGUGUGGCAGAGGGAGGUGGAAUUCCACGUGUAGCAGUGAAAUGCGUAGAGAUGUGGAGGAACACCGAUGGCGAAGGCAGCCCCCUGGGCUAACACUGACGCUCAUGCACGAAAGCGUGGGGAGCAAACAGG